AACGAACGCUGGCGGCAGGCCUAACACAUGCAAGUCGUCGGUGGGAGUGGCAGACGGGUGAGUAACGCGUGGGAAUGUGCCUUUUGGUUCGGAAUAGCCCCGGGAAACUGGGAGUAAUACCGGAUAAGCCCUUCGGGGGAAAGAUUUAUCGCCAAAAGAUCAGCCCGCGUUAGAUUAGCUAGUUGGUGAGGUAACGGCUCACCAAGGCGACGAUCUAUAGCUGGUCUGAGAGGACGACCAGCCACACUGGAACUGAGACACGGUCCAGACUCCUACGGGAGGCAGCAGUGGGGAAUCUUGGACAAUGGGCGGAAGCCUGAUCCAGCCAUGCCGCGUGAAUGAUGAAGGCCUUAGGGUUGUAAAAUUCUUUCAGCAGGGAAGAUAAUGACGGUACCUGCAAAAGAAGCCCCGGCUAACUCCGUGCCAGCAGCCGCGGUAAUACGGAGGGGGCUAGCGUUGUUCGGAAUUACUGGGCGUAAAGCGCUCGUAGGCGGAUAGGUAAGUCAGAUGUGAAAUCCCAGGGCUCAACCUUGGAACUGCAUUUGAAACUGCCAAUCUAGAGUUAAGGAGAGGUAAGCGGAAUACCGAGUGUAGAGGUGAAAUUCGUAGAUAUUCGGUGGAACACCAGUGGCGAAGGCGGCUAACUGGACUGAUACUGACGCUGAGGUGCGAAAGUGUGGGGAGCAAACAGGAUUAGAUACCCUGGUAGUCCACACCGUAAACGAUGAGUGCUAGUUGUCUGCAGGCAUGCCGGUAGGUGACGCAGCUAACGCAUUAAGCGCUCCGCCUGGGGAGUACGGCCGCAAGGUUAAAACUCAAAGAAAUUGACGGGGGCCCGCACAAGCGGUGGAGCAUGUGGUUUAAUUCGAAGCAACGCGCAGAACCUUACCUACGCUUGACAUGCCCGGACGAUUUCCAGAGAUGGAUCUCUCCCUUCUUCGGGGCCGGUGCACAGGUGCUGCAUGGCUGUCGUCAGCUCGUGUCGUGAGAUGUUGGGUUAAGUCCCGCAACGAGCGCAACCCUCAUCCUUAGUUGCCAGCACGUCUGGGUGGGCACUCUAAGGGAACUGCCUGUGACAAGCAGGAGGAAGGUGGGGAUGACGUCAAGUCCUCAUGGCCCUUAUGGGCUGGGCUACACACGUGCUACAAUGGCGGUGACAAUUGGGAAAUCCAAAAAAGCCGUCUCAGUUCGGAUUGUUCUCUGCAACUCGAGAGCAUGAAGUUGGAAUCGCUAGUAAUCGUGGAUCAGCAUGCCACGGUGAAUACGUUCCCGGGCCUUGUACACACCGCCCGUCACAUCAUGGGAGUUGGUUCUACCCGAAGAUCGUGCGCUAACUUCGGAGGCAGCGAGCCACGGUAGGUUCAGCGACUGGGAUG
rnacentral:rRNA from 1 species